rnacentral:rRNA from 1 species
CUGUCCAGCUAGGGGAUGAGAGAGGCCGACGGUAUUCCUGGGGUAGGGGUGAAAUCCUAUAAUCCCAGGAGGACCACCAGUGGCGAAGGCUGUCGGCUAGAACAUGCCCGACGGUGAGGGAUGAAAGCUGGGGGAGCGAACCGGAUUAGAUACCCGGGUAGUCCCAGCUGUAAACGAUGCAGGCUAGGUGUUAGGGCGGCCACGUGCCGCUCUAGUGCCGCAGGGAAGCUGUUAAGCCUGUCGCCUGGGGAGUACGGCUGCAAGGCUGAAACUUAAAGGAAUUGGCGGGGGAGCACCACAAGGCGUGAAGCUUGCGGUUUAAUUGGAGUCAACGCCGGAAAUCUCACCGGGGGCGACAGCAGGGUGAAGGCCAGAUUAAAGGUCUUGCCAGACGAGCUGAGAGGAGGUGCAUGGCCGUCGCCAGUUCGUGCCGUGAGGUGUCCUGUUAAGUCAGGCAACGAUCGAGACCCGCAUCUCCAGUUGCCACCAGCCAUGAGUUGGGCACACUGGGGAGACCGCCGCCGAUAAGGCGGAGGAAGGAGCGGGCCACGGCAGGUCAGUAUGCCCCGAAUCU